AACGCGUAGGUAACCUGCCUUGUANCGGGGGAGUAACUAUUGGAAACGAUAGCUAAUAACCGCAUAACAAAUGGAUGACACAUGUCAUUUAUUUUGUAAAAGGGGGCGAAUUGCUCCACUACAAGAUGGACCUGCGUUGUAUUAGCUAGUAGGUGAGGUAACGGCUCACCUAGGCGACGAUACAUAGCCGACCUGAGAGGGUGAUCGGCCACACUGGGACUGAGACACGGCCCAGACUCCUACGGGAGGCAGCAUG
rnacentral:rRNA from 1 species